GAUGAACGCUGGCGGCGUGCCUAAUACAUGCAAGUCGAGCGAACAGACGAGGAGCUUGCUCCUCUGACGUUAGCGGCGGACGGGUGAGUAACACGUGGAUAACCUACCUAUAAGACUGGGAUAACUUCGGGAAACCGGAGCUAAUACCGGAUAAUAUAUUGAACCGCAUGGUUCAAUAGUGAAAGACGGUUUUGCUGUCACUUAUAGAUGGAUCCGCGCCGUAUUAGCUAGUUGGUAACGUAACGGCUUACCAAGGCAACGAUGCGUAGCCGACCUGAGAGGGUGAUCGGCCACACUGGAACUGAGACACGGUCCAGACUCCUACGGGAGGCAGCAGUAGGGAAUCUUCCGCAAUGGGCGAAAGCCUGACGGAGCAACGCCGCGUGAGUGAUGAAGGUCUUCGGAUCGUAAAACUCUGUUAUUAGGGAAGAACAAAUGUGUAAGUAACUAUGCACGUCUUGACGGUACCUAAUCAGAAAGCCACGGCUAACUACGUG
rnacentral:rRNA from 1 species